CCGCGCUGCAGUCGGCCGCUAGUCGCCAGGGGUUCGAGUAAGCGAUCGGUUGUGUCGUUCACGUCGCGUUUUAUUUAUUGAUUAGUGCUGCCUCAUAAAAGUGCUGUUUCAUAAAUCUUGUGUUGGUGCAAUCAAUGUUACACUUUCCUGAUACAUCAAUGUAACCGAUGACCCGCAUUUGGAACGCUCUUCAGUCUAAACUGAGUUCGACUGAAGAGGAGUUUCCUCUUCAGUCGAAUGAAGUUAUUCUCCAGCUCAAUCUCUUAUUUUCUAUAUGUCUAUAGUAAUUCCAACUUCUGCUAACUCUACUGCACUCGCUUUUCGAACCACCUGGCGACUCAUCAAAAAUCCAAACAUCCCCGGGACGUAUCGACCCGACCAUACCAUGGAACCUUCAAAAUUGAGUUAAAAGAAUAUCUGAGUAUCAAACAAUAAAGCCACUCUACAACAAUGUCCUCAUGGUCUAUGUAUAUAAAAGAUUACCAUCCUCUCAUCUAUUACCUAACAGUUCUUAAUUCUCUGUGAACAAAUCUUGACCAGUCUGCAAUUCAUCUGGCUGAGGAUAAGAAGGCUAAGGAUAUCAUCGAAAGAAAUCAUCACAUCAAUAUGGGGCGAAGUAAUUGAGAAAUAUUGAGAAACUUUUAAAUGGAAACUGAUAAAACACAAGAGGCUACAAUAAUGUACGAGUAGCGAUCAAAAUGGCUUACAAUCAUUCUCUAUCGUGGGCAAUAUAUCGGCGAAUAAACUAUAUAUUAAUUAUUUUUGUUGAAUAUUGUUACUAGCUAAAUCGUUAUUUUACCGUGUGGGACCCGGUUUGUAGAAUUGGUCCACUCCUCGCAACCCAAGGAUGUCGUAAAAGGCGACUAAGGGUAAAAGAGUAAGGAAAGAAUGAUGGAGAUGAAAACAAAGCAAGUAAAUAACAUCAAUCACAAGAACUUCAAAAUGUACGACUACAGCUAUAUAACCUACAUAGGACGAAGAACAACGACAUGCUACGGCGCAUACACCUACGUGUUGCUGUGAUGUGUUUGUGUGUGCUAGGUUAAGUGUGUCUAGUUUAUCACUACUACCACAGUUAGACCUACGAGACGAAGCCAUCUCGCCGCUGACUGCUUCAAAACAUCGGAGCUUAGACAUCAGAAGCAUGAAACACCGAAGACAUCACAGGUUAGUUAUUCUCCCUGUUAACUUGUGAUAUUUGUGAAUCUAAAUGUCGACUAAGGCAUAGAUCUAGUUUUCGAAGUUUGUUUAAAAAGGCAACAUCUUAGAAAUUGUUUAGAAUGUAUGACCCUGUCACGUUAUUUACGUAAUAAGUAAUAUUACAUUUAAAAAAAUAACAUGCUAACAUAGCAAAAUUAAUAAUAGAUUAUUAUCAGAUAUGUAAUCGAAAUGUAGUGUCGUUAAAAGUGAUUUCUGUUUACUAAAAGUAACAUUUUUAUUGCAAAAUUGACUUUAUAUUAAACUAUCUAUAAUAUUGAACUAUCUACGACCUACUUGCUUAAGAAUACGUAAAAGACAAUGGUAAAAAGAAACAUACAGCGUAGGUAUCUCAUUAAUUUAUGGACGACACAUCUUUUGAUAUUUUUAUUUAAUGAGUAUGAAAAAAUACAGCUCCGAUAAGAUUAAAUUUUACCAUUAUUAUUCCAAAUUAGAAAUAAAUUCGAUAUUCUGCGUGAUAGGGUUAGGAUUGGUAACAAAACACCACAAUUUGUUACAAGAUUCAAAUAAUUUAUAUAGUAUGUUAAAAGUUUUAUAAAUAAAUUAUAAAAAAUGUUAUAAAAUUAAAUCUUUAAUAUAGAAGUAUAGUUAAAAUAGAAGUAUAUUGAGUGUGACUAAAAAAAUUAAAAAAACAAAAAAAAAAUUAAAAAAAUCGCACGUUGAACUGGACCCUUCUUAGCUCAUUAUUAUAAAUUCUCGUACGGUUAAGAAAACACGUGUCUUCCAAUAGAGCCACCGCCUGCGAGAUGCCAUUAUUAAAAAAUCUGAAAUAUAAAUGAUUGGUUCGUAAUGGCUUUACCAACCUAUCUAAAACAAAAAAUGUCUGUAUUUCUAAAAAGUAUGGUCAGCUAAAAAAGAGGUAUAUAUUACGAUUGUUACAGCUAUUCACAAGUGCCUACCUCGCCACGUUUUGGGCGACUAACAAUAAUUUUAUUUAUUUUUUAUAAUCACAAGUUAAGAGCUAAGAAAGGUGGUUGUUUUAUCGUGAUGAGACAUUUUCUGUUUCCUUCGAUAGCAAACUUAUUCAAAACCAUUCAUCAUUUCGCUACAACUUUUUAUUAGUAAAUGAAUCAUUUAUUCAAAUUCAGGUUAAAAUUACAGACCAGUGUUUAUUAUAACAUCGCCUAGGUAAAUAUGGUUAUGUAUAUGUAUGGUUUAAUAUGGCAAUUGGAUAUAUAUAGAUAUAUAUAGGUUAUAUAUAGGUAUUUCACCUUAAAACGUAAUGUAAGAAAAGUAGAAUCGUGAGAAAACAGUCAUAAAUGUUCAACGUGCAAAAAACAAAAAAAAAGUUGUUUCAGUGUUGUUCGAUUUCGGUUGCAAAAACUAUAAAAAUAAAAAAAAAAACUAAAUGUUUAUUUACGUUAAAUCUUAUUAGUUUAUAGCAGUUUAUAAUAUGAUAUUCAAUAAAAAAAUAAAAUAAAAAAAAAACAACUUAGGUUAGUUAAAUUGGUGUAAUUGUUGUUUUCUAUAAGUAAUGAGCGUGAAUGUUUAUUUUAGCUAGUAAUAAAAAAACCCAAAAACAAAAUAAGUACGCGCAUUCAUGAUACCUCCAGAAAACUGUUUAUGACUUCUUAAGGUACAAAGUAAAUUAUAUUAGUAGUUUGUCAUACUCAUCUAAUAAGUAAAUUACAAUGAUCUCAUCAUAGAAAAAUAUCACCACUCAUGAUAACUUAACACUUAAUGUUAUAUAUUGAAUACUUGAAUAGUUGGACUUCCAUUAAUAUAAAGUAACAUCGUAUGAUAUCCAGAAGGUAUACCUAGCACCACGUUUGAAUAGUCCCAUGCAUCCGUCUGGGGCGUGUGUUUUGCCAAAUACAGCAAACAACAAACGGCUGUCAAUGAAAAUUCCAUAUUUGUUGCGGAUAUUCAUAUUUAGGUUAAAUUAGUGCAGUAAUUAGGCUACCUCGACACGUUAUACCUCAACAUCCACCUCAGAGUAGUAUACGUGUUUGUUGAUAUUAAGUGUCGUGCAACGUAACGGAUUUCGGUUCUGGUAUGAGUUUGAAAGUAAUUGCACUACCAUUAUUUUAAGCAAAAUUGUUCAAUGCAAUGCUGCUUAAAAUUAUGUUAAAUAUGACAAUGGCGUGUUGCAGUUAUUAUGAUUGCAGCAUGGUAGUAGAUGGCUUAAUGAUUAAGGUUGCAUGACGUUUUGUGAGUUUUAAAGAAAUAUAUUAUCACAAACACGUAUACUGCAUAUUUGUAGAUACUAAGGCAAGUGUCGUGCAACUGAACGGAUUUCGGAUAUGGAAUGAGUUUGAAAAUGUAUGCGCUAUCAUUAUUUUAAGCACCAUACAUAAUGGUGCUUCAUCAUCAUCAUCAUCAGCCGAGAGACGUCCACUGCUGAACAAAGGCCUCCUCCUUGGUCCUCCACGUAGAACGACAAGUCGCCACCUGCAUCCACUGGUGCUUAAAGUAAUGCUAAAUAUGAGGGUGACGUGUUGCAAUCAAUACAACUAAAAUACGGUAGCAGAUGGCUGAAUGAUUAAGGGUUGCAUGACGUUUUGAAAGCUAGAAUUAAUUUAUUAAUUAUAGAAAAAAAUCACCUAAACGUAUUUGAAUAUGUAUUUGCUGCCUUGCAAUAGGCGUGAGUAUGGGAGGAGUUUGAAAGCGUUUGCACUGCCAUUAUUUUAAGCAAAAUUGUUCAAUGCAACGCUGCUUAAAUUUGUGCUACAUUUAACACGCAGCGUGGUAGCGGUUGGUUAAAUGGUUAAGGUUACAUGUCGUUUUAAAGGGGUUUUAAAGUGUUAAUACACAACAUUUAUCCAUAGUAAAUAAGUUCAACUAAAUAGAUUAAAAAUGUAAAAAAAAACAUAAAAAGUAAAAAAAAAUACAAAAACUUAAAAAGUAAAAAAAAAUAAAAAAACCUAAAAGUAAAAAAAAUACAAAAACCUAUAAAGUAAAAAAAAAUACAAAAACCUAAAAAGUAAAAAAAAGUAUAAAAAUAGUACAAACAACAAAAAAUACUAAUCAAAAUCCGACAAAACGUAAAAAAUAUGGCUUAAGAUAAUUGUAAGGAUAUACACGUAUAAAAUAGCAUUGAAACUAAAUUGACAUUUUGACAUCAAAACCACCUCUCGUGGUAACCGUGUUCAUAUUUGCUUGCAGUUAAGACAAUUAAUUAAUAACUUUUACAAUUAUCACCUAACACCUUGACCACAUGAUAUCUUGAUGUUUUCAAAUUGUGUAAGAGCCAACCUAAUUACGUACAGGCUGAUGUCAACUAGUAAUUCUCGAGAUACACGGACAAAGGGUUGCCAUAAUUAUCUGUAAAGCUCUAGAGCUCUGUUCUCUCUCCCCCUGAUUAUUGUUAUCAACGGAAUCAUAGUGCCAUACAAUCUUCAACAUUAUCAACUGGCAUUAAUAGAUUCUUUGCGACUUUUUCACAGGUUUCGCUCAAUUGCAUCCUUGAAUCGGUAUACGCACGCAUCAGUAGAACUUCGUCUAUUGAGUUUGCCAGAUUACUCAUCUCAGUUAAAGAUUGCAGCCUUAUGUCUGGUCUUUCACAAUCUUGGUAAACCCGUUCGAUCAUAGAAGUUUGUUCCACAGUACGGGAUCUUAAAAUACUAUAAGCCCCCUGCUUAGAAAGUUUUCACCAACCUAUCAUGUUAUCAACCUUGUCCACACUCUAGCCAUCAGUUAGGCAUUAUGAAAAUCCUACAAUUUAGUUUCGAUGUUACUUUUAGACGUUGCUUGCAACUCACCUCAUAGUUAUAGGAGUAUAUAUUUUUUCAAGACCGUGGUGUUGAGUUGGCCAUCCGCUCAAGAGUGGAUGAAGUUUUAUGUGACCGUAUUUUCGAAGUGGAUAUAGUACUUGAAAUUUAAAUCAAUAUUCGAAGUUACUGACAAAAGUAAACACCUUAGUCAAGCUAGUUGCAUCAAGCACGUUAUUUGAAACCUCACCUCAUAAUAUACAAGUUAUAGUUCUACAUUGUUUAUUUUUUUACUAACUAGAAUUGCUAGAUUAGCUCAAUGUAGGUACCUAAGCCAAGGUAAAGAUAAGUCAUAAUUUACAUCAUAUUGACUAAAUCUGGUACUUGGUAUUAGACUAGAUAAGUAAAUAAAUAGAACAGAGAAGAAGUUUCUUAAGAACGUGAAAUCACAUACCGAGAUAUUUUUUUUUAAUUUAAAUCUCGUAUUUCUUUGCUAAACAAAACAAUUUUUAUUUGAACAUCAAAAUAUCCAUGAAUUUCUCCUAGAGUAAUAUCACAAAGUCCAUAAAUUAUGAAGGGGUAUAAUAAAAAGAUCUAAUUGUACGUUACCAGAAAUCCUACUUAAUUAUUAUGUAACAUUUAAAUUAAAUUAUUAUCAAUAUCCCUUAUAAUCUGUGUUCUAUUUAUAUAAUCUUGUCUUAGAAUAGGCUCUAGACUGAAAGUCUGCAUUUCAAUAUAAUACUGAAUGCUUUAGACGUACAGAAUGCUGUUGAAGUUCAGCCUGUUAGUGUAGAGCCUUGCGAUAAUUAUUAUUUAUAACAGAUGUUACUGAUAGACGAGUAGUCAACGCUAGCUUGCAACCUCACCUCAUAGAAUAGCAGUUAUGGAUUUAGAAGGUUUAUUUUUAUAAUAUACUAGUUUUGCUAGACUAACUCAAUGUCAAAGCAUUCCAGUCGAAGUUGUACGAAAUGUGGCAUUAGAAAUAAUAUCAUAAUUCUAAAUUCGAUGUUAAAUAGAUGAGUCAACACAUUUUAGUCAAAGCUAGCUACAAUUCACCUCAUAGUAUAGGAGUUGUGAUUCGAGAGGGUUUAUUUUUGUAACUUACAAAAAUUGUUAGUGUUAAUCUGUUUGAAGAUUAAUAUCUAGAUAUUUCAUAUAAGGUUCCGAAAAUAAUUUAUUAAAACAACGCAACAGCAAUACAAUACUUAAAAUAUUUGAUGUAAUUAUUGAUAGAUAUACAAAAGAGCAUCAGUGCACUGUUCUUUAAAAAAUCAAUUUAAUAUCUCAAAAUCUCGACUCGACAUCAGUUUAGAACCAGAUACGCAUUUUUUAUUAAUGACAAACUUCUAGAGGUAACUUAAUCUUCAUGGAAAUAUUUGAUUAUAUAACGUAUCUCCUCCCAAAACUGUACCCAUUCUAUCCUUUUAACCAAAUUUUUAGAAUAAUCACAUGGAAUAGACAUGUUUCAGCACGAAUAGACCGGCUCGACCGGAAUGGUACCAAUUCACAAUGGUGUUUCGAUUGGUGAUUUUCAUUCUUUUCAAAUCAAAGUGCUGAAGUUGCCUUUUUGUAUAUCAAUGACUAACAUGGAUAAACGUACAAAAUCUUUUUACAUAUAAGUUUAUAUAAUAAUGUUAUAGAUCAAGUGAUUUGUGUGGUAUAUAAUUUAGAUUUAGUUAUGUGACAAUUCGAGUCGGUACAGACGACAGGCGUCAGGGCUUUUACUUUUAUGAUGUAUUGACAAGUUUUAUAAAAUUUAACGAUAUAUCUACUUAUUUGAAACAAUUAUAUCGUUUGUUUGCAACAUAAAUUACAGUAAGUUGUCCUUUAAUAGAUCAUUUGUUGUAGGAUGGUUGUAGAAUCUUGCAGGCGGUCCUGUAAGUGGAAAUAUUUUUAUCAGCAGAAAUAUCUAUAUAUAUAUACAUACACAAUCACUUUGAAUACCUUUGAUAUAUCAAUCAUGUACCAAACAGUAGCUGUGGUACACACUCCAGUAGACACUACUCUAUGUUUAAAGUUCUACAGUUAUAAGACCUUUGAGAUUAAGUGAUUGUUGUAUACUGACUCUCAUAUACCGCAUAUUUGUAAUUAUUUCAUUAAUUAGUAUAUAUAUCGUGCUUUCAUUUUAUAUAUUAAACGGCAUGUAACAAAAUAAAUAUUUCCGUUAUUUCGUUGUUCAUUUAGUAUAAACAAAACCGUUGGCCGCGAAAUGUACCGAAAUGAAUUUACGGGCUUAUAUUGUAACUGUUUAAAAAAAUCCAAUAAUCGCUUUAUAACAUUACACUGUGAUAAAUAAUUAACUUAAAUUUUAAUUUACUUACACGAAGACCGGCUAAUUUCUUGAUCUAUAACAUAUUCCGUAAUGUACAAAAGCAAUAUUGAAUUCUAAAAACUUGCUAAAAUUCGUAUGACAGACAUACACGCUCAUUACAAUAGAGGUAGGUAGAAAAUUUAGAUAGAUGUUAAAUAGUCGUAUUUAUGAGAAUAUAUUAUUUUUAUAAAUAUCGCCGAUGUAACCACUCAUAAUAGAGAAUGCUAUGCAGGAGAAUACUGCGAGCAAGAUAAUAUGCAUAGGUAAGGUCAGACGUUAGCAACAGGAAAUGGGAAGAGAAAGAUAUCGAAAAUCAUUGCAGAAGUAGAAGAGAAAGGUCAUUUUUUAAAAAUAGGAUGAUAUAUAAGGGGGCGGGCAAAUUGUUAUGGCAGAUAGACGAACGAACGGACGAACGCCCGAUUGGAAAGACACAGGCAGAGCUAUAUAAUAAUGGACCCCGAACUUUUAGUUAUAAUCAGAAUAGAAUAAUACUUAAAAUUAUUAUGUUUUAGGGGAUCCAAAGACCCUUCUCUCUCAUAACAAGGAAACCGAGGAAACGAAAGAUCAUCCAUUCCAAAAUACACAGAUGCAUUCGUUUAUAAUCAGAACGGUCUGCCUUACCAAGUAAUUUAAAUACUUGCCAUUUACGUCAAUAAAAUACUAAUUUAUAUCGCUACUCGAAAUUAUAAUUUAACUAUUGAAACCCUAAAAAAAAUCGUAUUUGACUAAACAAGGUGUCCACAUCUUCCAAAUUACAUAUGGAAUUUAACAAAAUACGAAAAACCGUUACACAUUAUCUAAUAGUAACUACGGAACCUACAUAGAUGAAUUAUUUUCAACUCUGAUAUAAUUAGCCAUAAAUGUUUGAAUUAUAUAAUUAUGUUAAGUGUAAUCAACAUCUAAUGGACUCGCACUAAGUAAUGCCGUCAUAAUUAAUAUUAGUUUAUUACUAGCGACAGUUGUUAACAGCUUCAAAUGCGCAACAGCCGUUCUCUAAAGUAGCAGUCUUUGCGAGCUACUUGAAACUGUCCUUUAUUUUUUUUCGAGGUUCAUCGUAGCUGUUUGUUUACAAAUAGCUUGAGAACUGAUUUCAAACAUCGUGCUUCGGAGGGCACGUUAAGCCGUCGGUCCCGGUUGUCGUACAAAUACCUGCGACGGUCGUUACGGUCAAAAUAUCCCGGUCAAAGAAGUGGGUCAAAGCAGAAAUGUCGGGAGUUUUCGCCUUUAAGGGCUGUUUACAGUUCUGGCUUAAACGAAUGAUGCAAACUCUGGUUACGAUCCAGUGCCGCCUUAAACCGGUUGGUAAAGGGGGUUGCACUUACACAAAUUCGACCAAGUAGAACUUAUCUACUUUCAUAUACAUCAUUGCGAAAAUGAUCCAUAACUUUUUCUAGAGUGUGAUCAACCCGAUUGGGUUAGGGUAGGCAACCUGCGUUAGAGGUAUCUUUAGGACUCGAUAAUAGGAAAGUUGUCGUUAAGACUUCAUGCCCGUGACACUGGGCUUUCUCCGAUCAUAUGAGAUGUCGUCGAUUCCUCAAAGAUCACCUGAUAAAUGCAGUUAUUAAGAAAAUUUCCUAAAAUGUCACAUACACGAAAAGCAUGAAGUAAAUGCAAAAUACAUCAGAAGUGUUUUAAGGGGUCAACUAGAGAAAGACUGGCAAUAUAUGUGCUCGUACAAACACCUGCGACUACACAUGUCUGCGAAAACAAACUUACAAGAAUAGUUGAUUCUUCAAAGAACUCUGGAUAACGGGUAUUAUUGCAUUCACUUAUUGAAAUAAAUUGUUUCUUAUUAAUAGAGGCCGGAUUAAAUUAUACCUAAUGCAAGUGACAUAAUAUUCAAGCAAACGUGCAUCACAAAAGGAUAGAAUAUGCACCAAAACCCAGUAAUACGCAAAAAUCAGUUCGGUCUAUCAUUAAGGGUAAACUACAAACAAUUUUCUUUACUUCUUAAGUGAAACCAAAAUAUGUAGAAACACUAAAACAACACAGUUACAUGCAUUUGCACAUGAACCCGGUCUCUACUUGUUAUCAACUAAUGGGGAACAAUUUAUGACAAACAUAUACUAUGGACUAGUAACAGAACGGGGUCCCGAUGCUACAUUUCUGACAUAAAAAGUGUAGCAAUCGUUAAGAGCUACCAUAAGCUCUCUAACAGAUACCUAGUUAUUUGAUUAUUCAAGGCUGUGUUUAAGAAGCACAUAAAAGCCUGGGUUUGGUCCCCUUCUUUUGUUGGAGAUCAAAUCAGAGACUUUCAUAAGUUUCAUAUACGAAAUUCGGCUAAAGAACAAACGAAUAGCUAGUGUUCAUGUUAAUUUAUGUCUUAAUAAUAGCUAUACUGGGUCCGGGUUAUCGUAAUACUUGUGUCAAUCGCUAUGGGUUUAACAACCCCGAUCAAUGUAGUCGAUCCAAUUGAGAACCUUGGUCAUCAGUAUAUCUCGACUGCUGUGUAGGUACGUAUCUCGUUGGGUAUGAAAUUUGAUGUUAGACAAGAGGCAAACAAACUAGCAUUUUGCAUUAAGUGUAAUCAACAUCUAAUGGACUCGCACUAAGUAAUGCCGUCAUAAUUAAUAUCGUUAAGAGCUACCAUAAGCUCUCCAACGGAUACCUAGUUAUUUGAUUAUUCAAGGCUGUGUUUAAGAAGCACAUAAAAGCCUGGGUUUGGUCCCCUUCUUUUGUUGGAGAUCAAAUCAGAGACUUUCAUAGGUUUCAUAUACGAAAUACGGCUAAAGAACAAACGAAUAGCUAGUGUUCAUGUUAAUUUAUGUCUUAAUAAUAGCUAUACUGGGUCCGGGUUAUCGUAAUACUUGUGUCAAUCGCUAUGGGUUUAACAACCCCGAUCAAUGUAGUCGAUCCAAUUGAGAACCUUGGUCAUCAGUAUAUCUCGACUGCUGUGUAGGUACGUAUCUCGUUGGGUAUGAAAUUUGAUGUUAGACAAGAGGCAAACAAACUAGCAUUUUGCAUUAAGUGUAAUCAACAUCUAAUGGACUCGCACUAAGUAAUGCCGUCAUAAUUAAUAUUAGUUUAUUACUAGCGACAGUUGUUAACAGCUUCAAAUGCGCAACAGCCGUUCUCUAAAGUAGCAGUCUUUGCGAGCUACUUGAAACUGUCCUUUAUUUUUUUUCGAGGUUCAUCGUAGCUGUUUGUUUACAAAUAGCUUGAGAACUGAUUUCAAGCAUCGUGCUUCGGAGGGCACGUUAAGCCGUCGGUCCCGGUUGUCGUACAAAUACCUGCGACGGUCGUUACAUAAUAAAUUUAACAAUCGAUAAGAGCUACCACAAGCUCAUACUUAAUUCUUUCUGCGUAUCAUCAUAAUAUCCACAGAGAGAACAGAUAUCUAAGAGAUUGAUUGUUCUAGUCUUAAUUAAUGGAAACAUAAUUAACUAGUGAACUCAUGUCAAUCAGCGCACGUAAAAGCGUAGGGCCCUGUUGUCGUACUUACAACUACGACUAGUUUCGUAUUUAUUUAUAAUAUGGAUCUGAUCGAGAUUCGCAUAGUAGCUACACGCUUUGGAGAACUAUUGUAGUCGCAUAAUCACUCUCGAGUAUGAAAUAUGAUUAUCAUAAUAUGACAGCCAAACAUCAGGUGUGAAGGUGAAUAGAAUAGCACUUAGUUCACUAAGGUCUACAAACGACUUUCAGAUUGUGAAAAAAUACUACAGAUGUAAUCACCGUCCUAAGCGUUAUCGUUUUCAAAUAAAGGAGCACUUAAGAUGAGAAACACAUGACAUCUUUAGAUCACGAUACUAACCUACGUGGAAUUGAUUUUUAUCAACGCUUCAGAUUACCUACAACAGUAGUUUUGCGCGGAUAGAAAGGCAAGUUCUAAUUAAAAUAAGGAUUUAACAAUAACUAAUUAUUUACCCAUUAGUCAGUUACAAUCUAUACGUCGUUAAACUACAGAUAAAAGUUUUGCAUCUAUACUACGCUUAACAUCAUCCAACAGGAGCGUUCUUCAAAAAUUUUAUAACUGUAAAUUCAUACUAUUCGACAAACAAAACAAAAUACAUUUUUGUAAUAAAUGAAAUUCAUCACAUUAUUCUUUAUAGUAUCGUAUUAUAGAAAUGUGCGCUCUAGAAUGAACUUACUUACGAUAUAAGAACUUGGUAAAUUAUAAUAUUAUUCGAAACUUAUGCAUGUGGAAUUUUAUUUAGAAUCAACGCAAGCUCAACUUUUAAUAACUUUUUUCUAUCAUACAACAAAUAAAGACUGUCGUUGUAUAAAAAUACUUCUUUAAUUUAGUUUUCUGUCAGAUUUUAUUGUAAUUACCAACCUUGUAUUUAACUAUACCGCUCUUUACAAUAUUUAAUUAUAAUUUCAAACUAAUUAAUAAUAAUAACAUUUAAUCGUCUUGUUUAAGUUGUUUAUAUUAAUGAGGUUUGUCAACGUAAAUUCAAAAUUUUAACUUUUUAAUUCUUACAAGAACUUAUAAAUCCAAACGUCCUAUGGUAAAGAAAGUAUGUCAUAAAAUACACAAUGUAUGUAAUAAUGUUCUAGUCCAACAUAAUAUAUCUGAAAAAAAAUAAUUUAAUCAUCGUAUCCAAUAUAAUUCUUUUUAAAAUAUGUAGUAGGACGUGGUUUUUUGUAUUGAGCCUUCUUUACAUAUAAGUAUAAUUGUAUUUUUAUUCCCAUUUAGUGUAAUAUCCGAACUAAAACUUAAGUCAUGGUAAUUUGCUAUAAUAUCAAAAUUAGAUUGUUAUUUUACUCUGAUUUGCUUUUAUGUCUUAAUGGUAUUUAACGAUUAUCACCACUUUCCUUAAGUAUGUAAGACUAUGUAUAACUAUGUAUUACUUUAUGUAUUAAAAAUAAAAUAUAGUACAAUUAA